CCCUGGCUCAGGACGAACGCGGGCGGCGUGCCUAAUACAUGCAAGUCGAGCGGAUUGAUGGGAGCUUGCUCCCUGAUAUCAGCGGCGGACGGGUGAGUAACACGUGGGCAACCUGCCUGUAAGACUGGGAUAACUUCGGGAAACCGGAGCUAAUACCGGAUAAUCCUUUUCCUCUCAUGAGGAAAAGCUGAAAGACGGUUUCGGCUGUCACUUACAGAUGGGCCCGCGGCGCAUUAGCUAGUUGGUGAGGUAACGGCUCACCAAGGCGACGAUGCGUAGCCGACCUGAGAGGGUGAUCGGCCACACUGGGACUGAGACACGGCCCAGACUCCUACGGGAGGCAGCAGUAGGGAAUCUUCCACAAUGGACGAAAGUCUGAUGGAGCAACGCCGCGUGAGCGAUGAAGGCCUUCGGGUCGUAAAGCUCUGUUGUUAGGGAAGAACAAGUAUCGGAGUAACUGCCGGUACCUUGACGGUACCUAACCAGAAAGCCACGGCUAACU
rnacentral:rRNA from 1 species